UAUAAAUCAUGUUUGGCAGCCUCUUAUUUUCUAAGAAAUGAAAAAUUGGUGCUGAGUAAAAUAUACAUUGAAUGAAGCAGAUUUUUUAAAAAUGCUCUCCAACAAACUAUAUGCCAGCAACAGCCAGAGCUGGGCCAUGCUGAAACUUGGAGCCAGGAACUGAAUUCACGUUACCUACAUGAAUAGCAGGGACCCGACUACUUGAGCCCUCACCAGAAGCCUUGCAGGAAGAAGGAAGCUGGAAUCAUGGGAAGAGCUGGGACUCAUUCCGAGAUCCCUCAUAUUGUUGAACUGAUGAUCUUAAUUAUUGCUAAUAUUUAAUUCAUGAGUACCAAAAAUAGAGAGGAGUAUUGGACCCUGUCACCAGCCUACAGAAGUGACCUCAUUGGGAAAUUAAUUAAAUCAUUCCAGAAUUAAAGGCCCCAGGUAAAAGCAUAAGAUGCAUGCAACUGAAUUUGAAAACAGUGUCAACCUACUGAUUAUGUUGAACUACUCAUAUUGUUAGAUUAGCAAUAAAAAUAAGAGCUUAUUAUUUAAAAUAUAUUCUAGAUGCAAGAUGUUCUAAUUAUAAUGAAGCAUUCAUUAUUCAUAAUGAGGAAGUGAAGAAAAUAUCUGGGACUUGAGAAAUUCACUAGGGCAUUGUUGGAUUAUUUGCUCAAUUAAAAGACAAUUACAAAAACUGUGUUUUGAGAAGAUUCAGACUCCAUGUUAACGUGUUACUUCACUGGACAAAAAAAUAUGGACAAAUGUAAGUUGCGAGUGAAGGAUAUUUUAAAAAAAUGUUAUAAAAAAGAAAAUGAUGAAUGAAUAAAUAAAAUAGCUUGCACCUUUGAUUUGAAGAAUUUUAAGAAUCUUUGAAUUUUAAAAAUUUUAAUUCUAAGUCUUAAAAACCAUGGAUAUCCUCUGCCUAGAAACAUCAUUAAGAGAGCAGAUUCAGUGCAAAAUAUCAACAGAUGUGGAUUUCUGACUGCAUUCAGCUCUGUUGAUACCAUGCCCAGCAUCCUUUUAAACAAUAAACUCUUGAGGAUGUUUUACAGUGUAAUGUCAUUUCACCACCUGCUUAUCCUACAACUUUGCUCAACCACAUUUGGGUGCAAAAUGGAAAGAUAGACGUCAAUAUGUUAGGUACUAAUAUUCCCUUGGGUGAUUCUCAGUCAAUGUACAAUACAGCUGGCUAGAAACAGAAAAAUGUCCCUUCCUUCUUGUUGUCUUGUAACAAAAUUUUGAAAAAAAAAAAAAAUAACAUGUGAUUUUGUAGUAGAUCUCCAAAAGGAUCGAGUGCCUGUAGUCCAGAGCAAUAAUAUAUGUCCAUGAACACACUUCUGGAUGUUUUUUCUUCUUUCCAUGUCUUAUUUCCUCUACUUCAUCAAAUAUUAUUACUGAGCUUAUGUCCCAACUAAACCACCUGCCCCAAGACUUGGACUCAGAGUCUAGACAUAAGUAUGUGUACACACAAACAUAUUCACACAUGUAUAUAUGGAUUUUAUAUAUAGAGAGAUAGAUAGAUAUAGAUAUAUAACAUAUAUAUAUCCACAUAUAUAUGUACUCAUAUGCUUGUGUAGGGCACCUUAUUUGGAAUAUGACCUCUGGAAGGACAUCAUAUAAUCACACACUUACAUAUAAACCUGAAUAGAUAAAAGACAAUUACUAAUGAUAGUAAUUUAUGCAAUGCUCUUCCUGUGUAUAUGGAAGUCCACUUAGUCCACUUGUACCCAUAGUACUAUCGAACAAUUAAGUUAGAAAAAUAUUGUGUAAAUGAAAUUAUUGAACAAAAUGAGCUAACUGGACUUUUUCUAUGGGAUGUGUACAUACAACUGCAGAUUUCUUUAUAGUUUCAAAUCUAGAAAUACAAGAUACAAGUAAGCCAAAGGCACACUGAUUCUCAUGAACCUUUUAACCUUGCCAGAUGACUUAUCAAGGGGGAAAUACACACUUAGACAAUAGAAAGGAGAUACUUUGCAUUCCUGUGUAGUUUAG